AAGCAGCAAUCAUUUAAAGAGUGCGUAAUAGCUCACUAGUCUAGUUUUUUUGCACCGACAGUAUAACGGGGCUAAGCUAAAUACCGAAUUUUUGAGCUCUUAGGAAGCAGGAUGCUCCCCAAGAGCGGUAGGCGAGUGUCAUAUAGGCGACGAAGCUUGAGCGUGAGCACAAGUGGAGCCUACAUGAGCAAGAAUGCCGGCGUAAGUAACGUAUGAAAGUGAAAAUCUUUCUAGCCGAAUGACCAAGGUUUCCAGGGGAAGGGUCGUCCUCCCUGGGUUAGUCGGGCCUAAGACGAGGCCGCAAGGCGUAGUCGAUGGAUAGCGAGUUAAUAUUCUUGCACUCAUCUGGUUGGCGAAGGGAUGACAGAAGAGGUUAAUAUGUGCGGGUUAAUGGAUUCCCGUUUAAAUCUCGAGUGGGGGAAGCAGGCAAAACCACUUCCCGAAAAACCAUGAGGGAUGAGUAGGAGCGAAAGGGGAGACCCGAGUAGCGAAGUCAUAUACAUCAAAUUCUCAAGAAAAGUCUCUAGCUUAACAACCAGGUAUCCGUACCGAGAACGAACAC
rnacentral:rRNA from 1 species